UACGUAGGUGGCAAGCGUUGUCCGGAUUUACUGGGCGUAAAGAGCGCGCAGGCGGUCGUACAAGUCGCGUGUGAAAGCCCCCGGCUCAACUGGGAGGGUCACGCGAUACUGUUCGACUCGAAGGCAGGAGAGGGAAGUGGAAUCCCGGUGUAGUGGUGGAAUGCGUAGAUAUCGGGAGGAACACCAGUGGCGAAGGCGACUUCCUGGCCUGUUCUGACGCUGAGGCGCGAAAGCUAGGGUAGCAAACGGG
rnacentral:rRNA from 1 species